rnacentral:rRNA from 1 species
AAUGAACGUUGGCGGCGUGGAUUAGGCAUGCGAGUCGUGCGAGAAUCGUAGCAAUACGAGGACAGCGGCGCAAGGGAGAGGAAUAAGUAGAAAUCUACCCUCGGAUCGGGGAUAGCGGCGGGAAACUGCCGGUAAUACCCGAUAACGUCUUUGGACCAAAGGUGUAAUUCCGUCUGAGGAUGAGUCUACUUCCUAUUAGCUAGUUGGCGGGGUAAUGGCCCACCAAGGCAACGAUGGGUAGCAGGUGUGAGAGCAUGACCUGCCUCAUUGGGACUGAGACACUGCCCAGACACCUACGGGAGGCAG